AUUGAACGCUGGCGGCAUGCCUUACACAUGCAAGUCGAACGACAGCACGGGUGCUUGCACCUGGUGGCGAGUGGCGAACGGGUGAGUAAUACAUCGGAACAUGUCCUGUAGUGGGGGAUAGCCCGGCGAAAGCCGGAUUAAUACCGCAUACGAUCUACGGAUGAAAGCGGGGGACCUUCGGGCCUCGCGCUAUAGGGUUGGCCGAUGGCUGAUUAGCUAGUUGGUGGGGUAAAGGCCUACCAAGGCGACGAUCAGUAGCUGGUCUGAGAGGACGACCAGCCACACUGGGACUGAGACACGGCCCAGACUCCUACGGGAGGCAGCAGUGGGGAAUUUUGGACAAUGGGCGAAAGCCUGAUCCAGCAAUGCCGCGUGUGUGAAGAAGGCCUUCGGGUUGUAAAGCACUUUUGUCCGGAAAGAAAUCCUUGGCCCUAAUACGGUCGGGGGAUGACGGUACCGGAAGAAUAAGCACCGGCUAACUACGUG
rnacentral:rRNA from 1 species